rnacentral:rRNA from 1 species
GACGAACUGUGCGAACGUUAUUCGGCAUCACUGGGCUUACAGGGUGCGUAGGCGGCCACGUAAGUAGGGUGUGAAAUCCCCCGGCCCAACCGGGGAACUGCGCUCUAAACUACAUGGCUUGAGUGAGCUAGGGGUCCACGGAACUUCCAGUGGAGCGGUGAAAUGUGUUGAUAUUGGAAGGAACACCGGAGGCGAAAGCGGUGGACUGGGGCUUAACUGACGCUGAGGCACGAAAGCCAGGGGAGCGAACGGG